GAACGCUAGCGACAGGCUUAACACAUGCAAGUCGACCUUUAUCAUGAGGUAGCAAUACCUUGAUGGCGACCGGCGCACGGGUGAGUAACGCGUAUGCAACCUGCCUGAUACCGUUGUAUAGCCCAUGGAAACGUGGAUUAACACCCCAUAGUACUUUUAUCCUGCAUGGGAUGUGAGUUAAAUGUUCAAGGUAUCGGAUGGGCAUGCGUCCUAUUAGUUAGUUGGCGGGGUAACAGCCCACCAAGACGAUGAUAGGUAGGGGUUCUGAGAGGAAGGUCCCCCACAUUGGAACUGAGACACGGUCCAAACUCCUACGGGAGGCAGCAGUGAGGAAUAUUGGUCAAUGGACGAGAGUCUGAACCAGCCAAGUCGCGUGAGGGAAGACUGCCCUAUGGGUUGUAAACCUCUUUUAUAAGGGAAGAAUAAGUUCUACGUGUAGAAUGAUGCCUGUACCUUAUGAAUAAGCAUCGGCUAACUCCGUGCCAGCAGCCGCGGUAAUACGGAGGAUGCGAGCGUUAUCCGGAUUUAUUGGGUUUAAAGGGUGCGUAGGCGGUUUAUUAAGUUAGUGGUUAAAUAUUUGAGCUAAACUCAAUUGUGCCAUUAAUACUGGUAAACUGGAGUACAGACGAGGUAGGCGGAAUAAGUUAAGUAGCGGUGAAAUGCAUAGAUAUAACUUAGAACUCCGAUAGCGAAGGCAGCUUACCAGACUGUAACUGACGCUGAUGCACCGAGAGCGUGGGUAGCGAACAGGAUUAGAUACCGUGGUAGUCCACGCCGUAAACGAUGCUCACUGGUUCUGUGCGAUAUAUUGUACGGGAUUAAGCGAAAGUAUUAAGUGAGCCACCUGGGGAGUACGUCGGCAACGAUGAAACUCAAAGGAAUUGACGGGGGCCCGCACAAGCGGAGGAACAUGUGGUUUAAUUCGAUGAUACGCGAGGAACCUUACCUGGGUUUAAAUGGGAAAUGUAGUAUUUGGAAACAGAUAUUCUCUUCGGAGCGUUUCUCAAGGUGCUGCAUGGUUGUCGUCAGCUCGUGCCGUGAGGUGUCGGGUUAAGUCCCAUAACGAGCGCAACCCUUACCGUUAGUUGCUAGCAUGUAAUGAUGAACACUAUAACGGGACUGCCACCGUAAGGUGAGAGGAAGGCGGGGAUGACGUCAAACCAGCACGGCCCUUACACCCAGGGCUACACACGUGUUACAAUGGCCGGUACAGAGGGCCGCUACCAGGUGACUGGAUGCCAAUCUCAAAAGCCGGUCGUAGUUCGGAUUGGAGUCUGUAACCCGACUCCAUGAAGUUGGAUUCGCUAGUAAUCACGAAUCAGCCAUGGCGCGGUGAAUACGUUCCCGGGCCUUGUACACACCGCCCGUCAAGCCAUGGAAGCCGGGGGUGCAAGAAGUCCGUAACCGCGAGGA
rnacentral:rRNA from 1 species